rnacentral:tRNA from 1 species
GGGAAGGUAGCUCAGUGGUAGAGUGCUUGCCUUGCAUACAUGAGGCCCUGGGUUCGAUUCCUCAGCACCCCA